rnacentral:lncRNA from 1 species
CUAUCGGCCUUGUAGGCCUACCGUCCUGUAGUAAUAUUUGUGUCGUCAUUUUCGCCUUGUUUUUCGUAUCCGAAAAUACGAAAUAUCGAACGGGCGUUUUUUUGUUCUCCAUUUCGCGUUUACUAUUCGCCUUGCUGGCGUUUCAUUCUUUUUAAUCUUUGUGCCACUAUUUUCGUCUUACGCGUUCCUCGAGUAAAAUAUAUUUGUCUCGUCUUCCGGUUAUGGUUUUGUGGUAAGUAUUUGACAUUUUUAUAAUAUUGUUAACAUUAUGGUCCCAUUGACUUAUGCUUAGUACAGCGGUCAUCGUACGUUUAUCGAUUGUUAUAAUAAGUACUGUUAUAGUCGUAUGGCAUUCUAAUGACAUAUACCUAAUUAUUUUAUAUUUUUUUUAUUUAUUAAUUAAUUGUAUAGAUUAUUCUUAUAAAACUCUUAUUUUGGUUACGAUGCGGACAAAUAAAAAGGGUUUAGUUUCGGUCAUUCUGAAUAAUGAAAAUAUAUUUCAAAAAUUUGUUGACAUAAACAUCAUUAUAUUUUAAGGUUAUAUGUACGGAAAAUUAAAUGCACACAAUAGGUAUGCUUGUACUUGAUAUAUUUAAUAUUUGUAUUACAAUUGUUUGAAGAGAUUGUAGAUAUUGUCAAAUAAGACGUAUUUAUACUUUCGUGAAAAAAUGUAUGUUUACAUCAAUAUUAUUAAAAAUAACAUCCAAUUAGUAAUAUUGUGUAGUGUUUUAAACAACCCCAUUGACUGUUCUGAACUAUUGGCUGAAAUUGGUUUCCGUAUACCUAGUAGAAACACUAGGGGGAUAUAGAUUUAUUCAUAGUUCCUAAUUAUUUUACUAACAGUGGAAAUAAUACAUUUUUUCAAGGGCUUUUGUUUUGGUUAAGAAAAUGUCCACCAAAUUUGAUUUAUUUCAAAUAUAUUCACAUUUAAGGAUUCAAAAUUAAUACAACUGUUAUAUUAAAAUUAAUUUUAAUAAAAUAGUAUUUAUAUUUUAGACUGAUCGCUUAAAAUGUUACCUUUUCAAUAGAUACCUACCAAUAUUUGUAUAAAAUUAAUUUUUUGUUUUUGCAUAUAUCGUUAAACAUUAAGCAAUACGCUUAGUAAAACAUUCUGUAAAGUAGUUACUUGAGAUCAGUCCAGUCUGAAUUAGAGUCUGUGUAGCAAUAAAACUUAAGAAUAUAUAUAUGUGUUACAAUACUAGUCGAGUUGCUAUUGAUAAAUGCAUAGAUACAAAUGAGAUAAUAAAACGAGCUUGUAUAAUAUUUUUUACAAAAUAAAUUUUCUAAUUCUAUUAUUUUCAGCUGAAUUAAGACUACAAUAUGCGUGAUAAGACAAAGCUUUUUAUCCCAGAAACUUUAAUUUGGAUGUAAUUAUACAACAGUCAAUAAUGCCCAGGAAAAGUCGUGGAUCUAGUGAUAUUGUCAUUAACAAUGAAGAGGUGUCCUUACAUUCUAGUUUAAAAAAAUGGAGUUUUGUGGAAAAAGAAUGAUGUAGGUAUUCUUAAUCAAUGAUGUACUUAUAUUAUAAUUAAUUUAAAUUACUUGUAUUUAUAACAGUCUUGUAUUUUUCAAAAAAAAGGCACAAAUGUUAAAAUGGUGAAUUUCUUGGAGAAUGUUACUAAAAUUUGAAAAAUAAAUUAAUGGAAAUAUCAAUAUUUUUAAACAGUGAAAAUAAUAUCAAAUAUGAACAUGCAGCACUACUUAAAGAACUUAUGGAAGUACUCUUUUUUGACCUCAAAUGAUAUAUGAAAAAAAAAAAGUUUUUAAGAAGUCUAUGUCAAAUUUAAAAACAAGAACAAGUUAAAAAAUUCUGACUUUUAACAAUUCCAAAAAAUCCUAUCUACAAAUCAUGUGCAUCCUCAACAGAAUUAAGUGGUAAUUUUGUUGCCAAAUUCGCUUUACACUUAAAAGCCUAGAUUUUUCCUAGAUCAUGUAGUGUUAUAUAGGACUUUAGACUAUAAAACCAAAAUAACAAAAUCUAGUAUUAAACCUUCAACCUAAUGUCAAAAACCUAAUGAAGCAAAUAAACCAUAGUGUAGAAAAAUAUAGAACUAAAAUACUGGUAAUGUGUGAUAAACUUUGAAAUACUUUAAUGAUGCUCAAGAUCAAAAUGAUAAUAGUUUUCUAAAUCAACUUCAACACAAUGCUCUCGUAUCAUAUAUACAGAAAAAUCUACAGACAAGAUUUCAAAUACAUCAUUCAAUAAAAUUUAAAAAAGUUCCAAGUAUGCUACAGUAAAUAUUAAAACUAUGGAAAACUCAGGAAUUAUAUUUAAAAAGAUCACAAUAACAGUUUUUUUUUAUGGAAAUAAUAUAAUACCCCCAAUACAAUUUCUCAGUGGUACAGUUUCAAUAAGAAAGUAAUCCCUAAAUCAAUAAUUAAUAAAACAAUUAUAAUUUUAUUUGAUUUAAAACUGACUGAAAAUAAAAUAAAUAUUAUCAUUGAUUAUAAAAAUAAUGAUAAACUAGAAAAUUCAUAUUAUAUGCACAUCUAUUCUGAAAAUUACUAUUCUUUUGAAUUAUCAUAGCGGCCAAUAAUCUAUAAAAGUAUACUGCUUAUAAGUUCAUACCAACGUAUAAACCAUUUAGUUAGAGGGUUUGAUCAAGGGAACAAGACCCUUUUUCAGAUCAAGAUCCUAAUCAAAAUCAAUCGGGUUUCAUGAACCAUGAAUAAUUUUAGUAUCGGAGAUCAAAGAAACUGAAAAUGGAUCAGGGAAAUCAACUGAAAUAUAUAAAAACAUGAUUGGAAAUCAUUUAUAUCAUUACAUGGUAUAAGAAAUGUCAUUAAUAAUACAUUUUUUUAUCUUAAUGAUAAAAUUGGUUCAACUAAUGAUAAUGAGUUCAAAGACCAAAAGGAAUACUGCUACCUAGACCAAUUGCCAGCAGCUGUGAAUGGCUUUUCAAUGAAUAAGCUCGUGUAGAUUAUGCAGAAUAUAUGAAAGAAGGUAAGAAAAUGUAUUCAAAUUAUACUUAUAAAAAUAUAUAUACAUUUAUGUAUGUUAAAACUUGUAUGUUUAAUAUUAAUAUAAUAUUUACUAUGCAUUCCUGGGAAUUUUGUUUCAUAUUAUAAUACAAAUAAAUCUUUGGUUUAGAUUGAAUGCAACCAAAAAGUAUAUAGGUCUCUUUUUUUUUUUUGGUACUGUUAUCAUCAAACAACUUAGUUUAGAGUUAUGUUUUCUUUUGAAUUUGGCUUUAUUUUUAAAUGUAUAAUGUUUAAAAUAAUUUCAAUUUCACUUAAUGGUGGGAUGUGGAAUAGUACAUUUAGUACAUGAGUAGUGCAAUUAUAUUUUCACUCCUACACUGCUUCGGUGUGUGAUUUUCCUAAAUGGUAAAAAUGAAAAUUCAUCUAUGAACACAUAAAGCAUUGUAGUAGUAUUUCUGUUGGGAGAUUAUGAUGUAGUCAAUUUGAGAUAAUUUUCUUUUCAAUUUUUCCAUAGGAUUUCAAAUACAUUCUUGGGGUUACUUAUUCAAUGAACUGUAAGGCCAAAAUUAUCCUUCCAUAAGUCAUUUAAUAUUAUGAUCAGCAUAUUCUAGGUUUAAUGUUGUUAAUUCUUGUAGGAAAAGUCAGCUUGUUAAUUUUAUUUCAUUAAUUUAUUAUUAUUUUUGUUAAUAUGUUUUUUUUAUUUUUUUGCAGUAAGAAAACUUAACACANUUUAAAUACAUUCUUGGGGUUACUUAUUCAAUGAACUGUAAGGCCAAAAUUAUCCUUCCAUAAGUCAUUUAAUAUUAUGAUCAGCAUAUUCUAGUUUUAAUGUUGUUAAUUCUUGUAGGAAAAGUCAGCUUGUUAGUUUUAUUUAAUUAAUUUAUUAUUAUUUUUGUUAAUAUGUUUUUUUAUUUUUUUUACAGUAAGAAAACUUAACACAAACCUAGAAAUUUGCACGAGAUUGAUAUAUAUAAACAUACACAAAUAAAAUUAAGUUACAGUUAAGUUAUUAACUUGAUUAUAAAGUAAGAUUUUUUUUUUUUUUUAUUUGUUUCUUGUAGGAAUAAAAAGAAGUUUUCUUUUGUGGUUAUUUUUAUUAGUAUUAUUAGAUUACAUUUAUUACCUUUCAUAUAUUCUGCAUGAUCAAUAAGAGCUUAUUCNGCCUAAAAAUUUGCACGAGAUUGAUGUAUAUAAACAUACACAAAUAAAAUUAAGUUACAGUUAAAUUAUUAACUUAAUUAUAAAGUAAGAUUUUCUCUUUAUUUGUUUCUUGUAGGAAUAAAAAAAAAUUUUCUUUUGUGGUUAAUUUUAUUAGUUUAAUUGGAUUACAUUCAUUAUACUUUUAAAUAAAGUGUUUUUGGAUAUUCCACUUGAUUUUCAGUUUCUUUGAUCUCUGACACUAUAACUAUUAUUAUUCAUGAGCCAUGAAACAGGAUUGAUUUUGAUUCUGAUCUUGAUCUGAAAAAGGGUCUUGUUCCCUUUAUCACACCAUCUAUCUAAGUGGGUUAUAUAUUGGUAUGGACCUAUAAGCAGUAUAUAUUUUAUAGAUUAUAAGCAGUUAUGAAAAAUCAAGAGAAUAGUAAUUUUCAGAAUAGAUAUGCAUAUAAUAUGAAUUUUCUAGUUUAUCAUUAUUUUUAUAAUCAAUGAUAAUAUUUAUUGUAUUUUCAGUCAGUUUUAAAUCAAAUAAAAUUAUUAGUUUUUUAUAUUAAUUAUUGAUUUAGGGAUUACUUUCUUAUUGAAACUGUACCAAUGAGA